rnacentral:rRNA from 1 species
CGAAAUUGGAUUAGCCCUUAAGCUUUUAAUGAUGCAGGUGAAGAGUCUGGAAAGUCUCGCAACAAAGGGUGAUAGCCCCGUAACCGACACAUCAUAAUCAGUGAAAACGAGUAGGGCGGGACACGUGAUAUCCUGUCUGAAUAUGGGGGGACCAUCCUCCAAGGCUAAAUACUACUGACUGACCGAUAGUGAACCAGUACCGUGAGGGAAAGGCGAAAAGAACCCCUGUGAGGGGAGUGAAAUAGAACCUGAAACCGUGUACGUACAAGCAGUAGGAGCACCUUCGUGGUGUGACUGCGUACCUUUUGUAUAAUGGGUCAGCGACUUAAUUUUAGUAGCAAGGUUAACCGUUUAGGGGAGCCGUAGGGAAACCGAGUCUUAACUGGGCGUACAGUUGCUAGGAUUAGACCCGAAACCAGGUGAUCUAGCCAUGGGCAGGUUGAAGGUUGAGUAACAUCAACUGGAGGACCGAACCGACUAAUGUUGAAAAAUUAGCGGAUGACUUGUGGCUAGGGGUGAAAGGCCAAUCAAACCUGGAGAUAGCUGGUUCUCCCCGAAAGCUAUUUAGGUAGCGCCUCGGACGAAUACUACUGGGGGUAGAGCACUGUUAAGGCUAGGGGGUCAUCCCGACUUACCAACCCUUUGCAAACUCCGAAUACCAGUAAGUACUAUCCGGGAGACACACGGCGGGUGCUAACGUCCGUCGUGGAGAGGGAAACAACCCAGACCGCCAGCUAAGGUCCCAAAGUAUAGCUAAGUGGGAAACGAUGUGGGAAGGCUCAGACAGCCAGGAUGUUGGCUUAGAAGCAGCCAUCAUUUAAAGAAAGCGUAAUAGCUCACUGGUCGAGUCGGCCUGCGCGGAAGAUGUAACGGGGCUAAGCUAUACACCGAAGCUGCGGCUACGUACCUUAGGGUAUGUGGGGUAGGGGAGCGUUCUGUAAGCCGUUGAAGGUGGUCUGUAAGGGCUGCUGGAGGUAUCAGAAGUGCGAAUGCUGACAUGAGUAACGAUAAAGGGAGUGAAAAACUCCCUCGCCGGAAGACCAAGGGUUCCUGUCCAACGUUAAUCGGGGCAGGGUAAGUCGACUCCUAAGGCGAGGCCGAAAGGCGUAGUCGAUGGGAAACGGGUUAAUAUUCCCGUACUUCUUACAAUUGCGAUGGGGGGACGGAGAAGGCUAGGUGGGCCUGGCGACGGUUGUCCAGGUUCAAGUAUGUAGGCGGGUGGUUUAGGUAAAUCCGGACCGCUACUAACGCUGAGAUACGAUGUCGAGCUACUACGGUAGUGAAGUCAUUGAUGCCAUGCUUCCAGGAAAAGCCUCUAAGCUUCAGAUUGUAAGGAAUCGUACCCCAAACCGACACAGGUGGUCGGGUAGAGAAUACCAAGGCGCUUGAGAGAACUCGGGUGAAGGAACUAGGCAAAAUGGUACCGUAACUUCGGGAGAAGGUACGCUCUUAUCAGUGAAGUCCCUUGCGGAUGGAGCAGACGAGAGUCGCAGAUACCAGGUGGCUGCAACUGUUUAUUAAAAACACAGCACUGUGCAAAAUCGUAAGAUGACGUAUACGGUGUGACGCCUGCCCGGUGCCGGAAGGUUAAUUGAUGGGGUUAGACUUCGGUCGAAGCUCUUGAUCGAAGCCCCGGUAAACGGCGGCCGUAACUAUAACGGUCCUAAGGUAGCGAAAUUCCUUGUCGGGUAAGUUCCGACCUGCACGAAUGGCGUAAUGAUGGCCACGCUGUCUCCACCCGAGACUCAGUGAAAUUGAAAUCGCUGUGAAGAUGCAGUGUACCCGCGGCUAGACGGAAAGACCCCGUGAACCUUUACUACAGCUUGGCACUGAACAUUGAACCUACAUGUGUAGGAUAGGUGGGAGACU